GACGUAGGGGACGAGCGUUGUCCGGAAUCAUUGGGCGUAAAGAGCGUGUAGGCGGUCCGGUAAGUCGGUUGUGAAAGUCCAGGGCUCAACCCUGGGAUGCCGACCGAUACUGUCGGACUAGAGUUCGGAAGAGGCGAGUGGAAUUCCUGGUGUAGCGGUGGAAUGCGCAGAUAUCAGGAGGAACACCGAUGGCGAAGGCAGCCCCCUGGGUCAAAACUGACGCUCAUGCACGAAAGCGUGGGGAGCAAACAGG
rnacentral:rRNA from 1 species